rnacentral:rRNA from 1 species
GUUUGCUUGGCAAACUGCUUCUUAACACGUAGACAACCUACCUUAAGGUACGGCAUAUUCCCGGGAAACUGGGCGUAAUUCCGUAUAGAUAAUUAGUCCUGGAAUGGCUUCUUAUUAAAAGUUUUAUACGCCAUAGGAUGGGUCUGCGGCCGAUUAUGCUUGAUGGUGGUGUAAUGGACCACCAUGGCUAAGAUCGGUAGGGGCCAUGAGAGUGGUAGCCCCGAGAUGGCCACUGAGACAACGGGCCAGGCUCUAUGGAGUGCAGCAGGCGCGAAAACUGGACAAUUCACGAAAGUGAGAUCCGGCCAAUCCGAGUGAUCCCCCAUCGGGGAUCUUUUCUUAAGUAUGAAAAGCUUGAGGAAUAAUGAGAGGGCAAGACUGGUGCCAGCCGCCGCGGUAAAACUAGCUCUUAGAGUGGUCGGCAUGAUUAUUUGGCUUAAAGGGAACGUAGCAGGGUAACAUAAGUCCUCAGUGAAAUCCUAGGUCCUAAGCUUAGGGCGUGCUGAGGAUACUGUGUACCUUGGGACCGGAAGAGGUGAACUGUACGUCUAGGGUAGGGGUGAAAUCCAAUAAUCCUAGACGGACGACCGGUGCGAAGGCGGUUCACUAGGACGGGUCCGACUGUGAGGUUCGAAAGCCAGGGGCGCGAGCCGGAUUAGAUACCCGGGUAGUCCUGUGCUGUAAACGAUGCCCGCUAAGUGUUAGGGGAACUUAGGGUUCUUCUAGUGCCGAAGCGAAAGCGUUAAGCGGGCCGCCUGGGGAGUACGGUCGCAAGACUGAAACUUAAAGGAAUUGGCGGGGGCCCACCACAAGGGGUGGAUCCUGCGGUUUAAUUGGACCCAACUCCGGGAAACCCACCUGGGCCGUGGCAUGUAUGAGAGCCCUGCUGAAGACACUGCUCGACGUGCCACCGGAGGUGCAUGGCCAUCGACAGUUCGUGCCGUGAGGUGUCCUGUUAAGUCAGGCAACGAACGAGAUCCCUACCCUUAAUUGCCAGCGAGAGCUUCACAGCUCGUCGGGGACAAUAAGGGGACUGCUCGCGAAAAAGUGAGAGGAAGGAAGGGCCAACGGUAGGUCAGUAUGCCCCUAUAUGCCCAGGGCUACACGCGGGAUACAAUGGCAAGUACAGAGGGUUCCUACACCGAAAGGUGACGGCAAUCUCCAAAACUUGUCUCAGUCGGAAUUGAGGGCUGCAACUCGCCCUCAUGAACUUGGAAUCCCUAGUAAGCGCGUGUCAUCAACGCGCGCUGAAUACGUCCCCGGGCCUUGCACACACCGCCCAUCGCAGCACGCGAGACGGGUUUGCCAGAGGUGACAGAAUCAUACUGUUAUCGAUGGUAAACUCGUUGAGCAGGCUGAAGUUGUAAU